rnacentral:lncRNA from 1 species
UAUAAGGGUGACACAUCCAAGUAGGCACAAAUACACUACAUUUUUGGCACAAACCAGUGUUCUUUUUGCUUAGAGAGCACAUAAAAAAUAGUUUUGUGUUCAAUGAUAAUCAACACGCACAUAUAUGUAUUGGUGCUCAUUGAAAAUGAAAAGGACACAGAUCAAUUGUGUUCUUAGCCCACUUUUCUUGUAGUGUGAAUUCUUAAGAACACAAUUUGCUAUGUAUCUUUAAUCUUGACAACAUCAGUGGAAACUUUCAAACUCUAAUUCUUUGUUGAUUAUUCAAAUUUGAAAAAUGAAGAAAAGAACGCAUGGCAAUGUGCAUAUAUAACCAUAAUAACAUUUCAAAUGACCGCACAACAUGGAGUCACAUUGAUACUGAUACAAUUACACUUUUGAGUUUUGAGGUUUGAAUUUUCUUUUUCUCCACUUUUCUACUGCUUUCAGUUUUCCAUGAGUUUUGGGUAUACAAUCUCACAAAGAAAAAGCCAAUUGGCAAGAAAGAGAUUUAAAGAUUGGUCUGUUGAGCACCCUUCCGUUGAUAGGAUACACGGGUCAAAAGGAAAACUUGAUUUCAGAGACGAAGUUGGUUCGCUCAAUGAAUUGUCGUGGUGCUGUGGGAAUCUCGACCUCCAUCUCCGUCCGUGCAAGAAAGCGACAUGAUAUGUUGAGGCAGGUGGGAAUUUCAACAACUCAAAGAAAAGGACCGCGCACCACCACACCACUUCCAACUCAAGGUCCGGUGGCAAUAUGCUAACUUCCUAGAAGCGAAGGGUAGUACUUUCCGCCAUUGGAAAACUGGUGGGUGCAUUCCAACAAGUCGUAUUCCACUUUUAGAGACUAGUAAAACUUUAAUAUCGAUCACAUCUGUUGUAGCAAAAACAAAUUGAUAACUUUCAAUAUGGGCUUUAACUCCGAUUGUGGAAUACAUUAGGUUUCUAUAAGCCCUCACUACAUUUUGGUACAAAAUUAAAACUUAAGAGCAAGUUUGAUAACCAAUCCGUUUUAAGUUUUUAAUUUUAUUUUUAAUUAUAUAGACUGAUGAAAAAUAUGUGAUCUGAAGAUCAAUCAAGAUAGGCGAAGGAUAGAUGGUGAAAGCAAUGUGAAUCGAUGUUCUAGAAAGUAGUCUAGACAGCUAGCCAGCACCACGAUUAAUUACUAAAUGGUUAGAAAAUCAAGUAUGGCAUCUACGUGGGUUUAGGCAGAAUAAGUGUUUGUUUUGUUUUUUUUAAUUAACUUUGAGUCUUGACUCACCCUUUCCCAGACAGAAAAAGGAAACCAAUAAUGCGAUGUGGUCGUCUCUUUUUGCGAUAGUUCUUUGAUGUUUUCAAUAAAUUGUAGUACUUUAUAUAAUUUAUUUAUAUUUAUAUUUUUCGUUUUAAGUUUCCCCAUUACAAUUAUAAUUUUUACUUAUUUAAUUUUUUUUAAAUAUAUAUAUGCACUUAGUUGUAUGUCAUAUAAUAAAUUUAAUUAAGAUAAAAAAAAAAC